AAUGGCUCAGAUUGAACGCUUGGCGCAUGCUUUACACAUGCAAGUCGAACGGUAACAGGCCUUCGGGUGCUGACGAGUGGCGAACGGGUGAGUAAUGCAUCGGAACGUGCCCAAUCGUGGGGAUAACGUAGCGAAAGUUACGCUAAUACCGCAUAAGCCCUGAGGGGGAAAUGGGGGACCGCAAGGCCUCACGCGAAUGGAGCGGCCGAUGUCAGAUUAGCUAGUUGUGGGGUAAAGGCUCACCAAGGCGACGAUCUGUAGCGGGUCUGAGAGGAUGAUCCGCCACACUGGGACUGAGACACGGCCCAGACUCCUACGGGAGGCAGCAGUGGGGAAUUUUGGACAAUGGGCGCAAGCCUGAUCCAGCCAUGCCGCGUGCGGGACGAAGGCCUUCGGGUUGUAAACCGCUUUCAGCUGGAAAGAAAUCGCUGUUUUUAAUACGGACAGUGGAUGACGGUACCGGAAGAAGAAGCACCGGCUAACUACGUG
rnacentral:rRNA from 1 species